AGAUGAUAGAUGGUUAUGGGGGCGGAAGAAGGCUCAUAGGGUUUUCUAAUGUUUGUUGAGGGUUUAGGCCAUGGGCCCCAACACAUUCCACGACAUUACAUGCGCCCUUUUUAGCUCGCACCCCCAUUCCUUCAUGAUUUCGUUUGGGCCAACAUAGAAAGCCCAAUCCACCUCCCCCAGUUUUAUUUGUUUUUUUGCUUCAGCAUAUCACGCCUAGUUUUCAGCAUGUCCCCUAGUCUAAUGCUCCGCUUGAGCCAUUCCUCUUUGUGCCCAUCUUUUUUUUAGCAUUUUUUUUGUUUUUAUUUUUAAUACUCCUUGUUUUAUUUUUUUAAUAAUAAUUAUUAAUUAACUAAAGUUUGUU
rnacentral:lncRNA from 1 species